UAUUGAAAUGCCCGGAGCGAGCAACUC
rnacentral:piRNA from 1 species